rnacentral:tRNA from 1 species
GCCGUGAUAGUACAGUCGUUAGUAUUCUGUAUUGUGGCCGCAGUAACCUCGGUUCGAAUCCGAGUCACGGCA